AGAGUUUGAUCCUGGCUCAGAUUGAACGCUGGCGGCAUGCCUUACACAUGCAAGUCGAACGGUAACGCGGGGGCAACCCUGGCGACGAGUGGCGAACGGGUGAGUAAUACAUCGGAACAUAUCCAGUAGCGGGGGAUAACCUAUCGAAAGAUGGACUAAUACCGCAUACGAUCUACGGAUGAAAGCAGGGGACCGCAAGGCCUUGCACUAUUGGAGUGGCCGAUGUCGGAUUAGCUAGUUGGUGGGGUAAAAGCUUACCAAGGCGACGAUCCGUAGCUGGUCUGAGAGGACGAUCAGCCACACUGGAACUGAGACACGGUCCAGACUCCUACGGGAGGCAGCAGUGGGGAAUUUUGGACAGUGGGCGCAAGCCUGAUCCAGCCAUGCCGCGUGAGUGAAGAAGGCCUUCGGGUUGUAAAGCUCUUUCGGUGAAGACGAAACGGUUCAUGCUAAUAACGUGAACUAAUGACGGUACUCACAGAAGAAGCACCGGCUAACUACGUGCCAGCAGCCGCGGUAAUACGUAGGGUGCAGGCGUUAAUCGGAAUUACUGGGCGUAAAGCGUGCGCAGGCGGUUUGCUAAGACAGGUGUGAAAUCCCCGGGCUUAACCUGGGAAUUGCGCUUGUAACUGGCAAGCUAGAGUGUGGCAGAGGGGGGUGGAAUUCCACGUGUAGCAGUGAAAUGCGUAGAUAUGUGGAGGAACACCGAUGGCGAAGGCAGCCCCCUGGUUAACACUGACGCUCAUGCACGAAAGCGUGGGGAGCAAACAGGAUUAGAUACCCUGGUAGUCCACGCCCUAAACUAUGUCAACUAGUUGUCGGGGAAGAAAUUCCUUGGUAACGAAGCUAACGCGUGAAGUUGACCGCCUGGGGAGUACGGCCGCAAGGUUAAAACUCAAAGGAAUUGACGGGGACCCGCACAAGCGGUGGAUUAUGUGGAUUAAUUCGAUGCAACGCGAAAAACCUUACCUACCCUUGACAUGCCAGGAAGCCCGCAGAGAUGUGGGUGUGCCCGAAAGGGAACCUAGACACAGGUGCUGCAUGGCUGUCGUCAGCUCGUGUCGUGAGAUGUUGGGUUAAGUCCCGCAACGAGCGCAACCCUUGCCAUUAGUUGCUACAUUCAGUUGGGCACUCUAAUGGGACCGCCGGUGACAAACCGGAGGAAGGUGGGGAUGACGUCAAGUCCUCAUGGCCCUUAUGGGUAGGGCUUCACACGUAAUACAAUGGUCGGUACAGAGGGCUGCCAACCCGCAAGGGGGAGCUAAUCCCAGAAAGCCGAUCGUAGUCCGGAUUGUAGUCUGCAACUCGACUGCAUGAAGCCGGAAUCGCUAGUAAUCGCGGAUCAGCAUGUCGCGGUGAAUACGUUCCCGGGUCUUGUACACACCGCCCGUCACACCAUGGGAGUGGGUUCCACCAGAAGUAGUUAGCCUAACCGCAAGGAGGGCGAUUACCACGGUGAGAUUCAUGACUGGGGUGAAGUCGUAACAAGGUA
rnacentral:rRNA from 1 species